AUUGAACGCUGGCGGCAGGCCUAACACAUGCAAGUCGAGCGGAUGAAGGGAGCUUUCUCCUGGAUUCAGCGGCGGACGGGUGAGUAAUGCCUAGGAAUCUGCCUGGUAGUGGGGGAUAACGUCCGGAAACGGGCGCUAAUACCGCAUACGUCCUGAGGGAGAAAGUGGGGGAUCUUCGGACCUCACGCUCUCAGAUGAGCCUAGGUCGGAUUAGCUAGUUGGUGGGGUAAAGGCCUACCAAGGCGACGAUCCGUAACUGGUCUGAGAGGAUGAUCAGUCACACUGGAACUGAGACACGGUCCAGACGCCUACGGGAGGCAGCAGUGGGGAAUAUUGGACAGUGGGCGAAAGCCUGAUCCAGCCGUGCCGCGUGUGUGAAGAAAGUCUUCGGAUUGUAAAGCACUUUAAGUUGGGAGGAAGGGCAGUAAGUUAAUACCUUGCUGUUUUGACGGUACCAACAGAAUAAGCACCGGCUAACUUCGUG
rnacentral:rRNA from 1 species